rnacentral:rRNA from 1 species
AUAAACGCUGGCGGCGUGCUUAACACAUGCAAGUCGAACGAAGUUUUUCCUUCGGGAGAAACUUAGUGGCGGACGGGUGAGUAACGCGUGGGUAACCUGCCCUGUACAGGGGGACAACAGCUGGAAACGGCUGCUAAUACCGCAUAAGCCCUUAGCACUGCAUGGUGCAUAGGGAAAAGGAGCAAUCCGGUACAGGAUGGACCCGCGUCUGAUUAGCCAGUUGGCAGGGUAACGGCCUACCAAAGCGACGAUCAGUAGCCGAUCUGAGAGGAUGUACGGCCACAUUGGGACUGAGACACGGCCCAGACUCCUACGGGAGGCAGCAGUGGGGAAUAUUGCACAAUGGAGGAAACUCUGAUGCAGCGACGCCGCGUGAGUGAAGAAGUAUUUCGGUAUGUAAAGCUCUAUCAGCAGGGAAGAAAAUGACGGUACCUGACGAAGAAGCACCGGCUAAAUACGUG